AACGAGACCCGGGAUCCCUUUGGAGAGGCCCUCGGGAGCUGGCGACAGGGCUGGGAGUGGCGUGGGGCCAAGGAAAACCAUGACAAUGUGUCUGGCAAGUUCUUCCCCUGUGUGACUUGCUCAUAUUUCAAAUAGUGGAGAUCAAGCACAUGGUCUCAGGAUUAAAGACAGCACAAAAACCUGCAACUCCGGAGGGGAAAAUAAAAAUGCAACAAGUCAUCCAAGAUGUGUUCAUAAAGCAACUUCGACAUUUAUAUAUGAAAGUCAAGGCAAAUACCAUUCGUCGUAGACAUAACCGUGAAUCUUGAAAGUGAGUCCCGAGUCUUCAAAAUCGAGUGUGUAUUUUGCACUUCCAGCACAUCUCCAUUUGUGCUGGCCACGUUUCAAUGCUCAGAAGCCACAUGUCAUAGUGGCCGUGGCACUGGGCAACGCAGACCUCACACAUCGGGUGCAUUCAGCAGAGGGGAGCACCAUCAAAUGGUUGAUGAAACUGUUAUGUGGAUUCAGAGUCUGAGCACCAUUAUUCUAUCUACACAUUUCCUGUCCACCAAAUAAAUAAUAUUUGAAAGGAGUCAUCCAGUCUGAAAGGCUUUGCUCCACAGUUCAGAAAAGCUGAAAGGCUGAAAGUCUGCUUCAGUAUUUGAAUUGUCCCCAGAAAAACUAUAUGAAACCAAGUGGAUUAGCAAGAGGCUGCCUGGCUGACCCCAGCUCUCAGAAGGGCUCUCAGGGUGACCUGCUACGACUAUUGGGAGGACAGCCUUGGUGAGCCAUUCUCACUGUGGAAUGAACUUGUCCCCCAAGAUCUGACAAGCUGGAAAUGACUGAAUAAUGGAAUUAAGGCCUUUAUCAACAGUUACAUUAGAACUUCGAAGAGACUAAUUACCAUAGCGUGUUCUGGAUCAUGUUUGAUCCAGAGGUGGACUCUGCCCAGGUCAUAGAGGAAGUUGGCACAGAUUACAAUCUUUGCAGGCCCCCAUUCUAAAAAAUGGUGUUCCCAAAGUUGCCGCAUUCAAUCGAUAUUUCGUGCCAUGCUGCUCAGUGCAGUGGACCAGUGGCUAAUAAACUUGUCCUUAUCCAUAAGCCACCGUAUUAGGUGACUCUGUCUGGGCCAGGAACCAAGGCGUGCUAUGAUUUCAGAGACUGGAUUCCUAUCACCUGGGGAAGAGACACGCUCUGGUGACGUAAGAAAGCGGAGAAAUCAACCAUCACCAAAACCUGCAGACUCUGAAAUUAAAGGAGAAAAUAUGCGUGCAGUUGGUUCAAUUGGCACCCAUUAAAGCUAAUAACUAAUCAUCCUCGCAAGUUUCUAGCUCAGAAUGAUCAAAUCUGCAAAGAAAACAACAUCCGUCCACUUUUACACUCCAGUGGAAGAGGUGGUCCCUCGCGGCAGGGCGGCACAGUCUCGCCAUCUGGAGAAUAAAUCGAGUGUGAAGUACAGUAUAGUUUGGGACCAAGCUCCGUGGCGGCAGCUCAGCAGUCAGUUCAUUAGUUCCAAACUUCCAGGGAUUAGAGCGGCAUCAAUUCUACUGUCGGAUAGGAUGAGACAGACAGGAUACGAGAUUCAAGGGGGAUUGUGACAACCAAGAGGAGCCCCUUGGGCUUAUUUAUAAAACUACAAAGUAUAAACAUACCCAAGUAAGUGCCUUAAAUAAUAGCAUUAUCACAGUUUCAUAACAUCUGAAUUAUCACCUUUCCCUUCGCCUCCCAGCCCCCGACUCAAACCUUGAAUGUUAAUGUAUAGUUGUUUUCAGAGGAAAUGGCAGAGACAGCCCUGGGUGCAACAGGAACAACGAGAAAGCUAUGUGCGACCCAAGAUUUGGUAAUUAAGAAAUAGGAAAGACUUUCUAGACUCCAGGGAGAUCCACAACAUUUGUGAUGAAAGAAAAGUACAAUGAAUAUUUUCAUCCUGCAAAAGGCAAUUGCCAUGCCACGUAUUCAAAAACGACAGUAAAUUCUAUCCCUUCUGAAUGUGUCCAUCUCAUCUGAUUUUCAUUUCAUCUAAUGUGUAAAAUGAUGUCAUGUCACGGGCAUGAAGUGGUCCAAAUUUUUAGCAGAAGGCCCCAGGAGCAUCUCUAUGAAAAUCUUAUUGAAAAUGUCAAGAUCAAGUUUGGUUUAAAAUAAAAAACGGAACGAAUUUAUUCUAUUUAAGGACGGCCUUUUUCAUAUAACUUUUUAUCAAUUUGUAUUUAAAAACAGCAUUGCUUAGGACAUAGACCAUCCUCACCAGUCAAUUAUAUUGGAUUUUUCUCAUAAAUGUGUAAAAAUUUACUGUAAUAAUGAUCAGAGACUGUUGUAGUGACUGCACUGAAAAAAAAAGGCAAAUGAAUUCUCAGAUUAUUACAACCUGGUAGUAUGUUUCAACAGGCAAGGUGAGUGUUGAGUUUUCUAUCCUGUUAUUUUUUCCACAUGAAAAAGAAAACUUAGUUUGCCUGUUUUUGAAAAAAAGAAAACCUAUAACAAUAUUGAGCAUACUGUAGGUUAACUGGCUUAAAAUUGUAUGUGCUGAUUCAUCUUACAAAGCGUUACAUGCCAGGCACCCUGUUUACUCUGAAAAUGUAGAUUUUGGCAGAGCAAAGUUUUUGAUAUGUUAAUCAUGAAACAUACAUUAAAACACAGGUUUAUAGUGAAAUGCUAAAUUGGCUUUCAUUCAAAAGACUAAGAAGGCUGAGGAUGUGUAUAGAUGGGUAGCUUAUAAUAUAUAAUUGGUAUUUCUGCCCUUCAGAGAUAUAAUUGAAAAAGAGAAAACCUUACCAAAAAACUCCAACACUAAAACACAAUAAACCUAUGAAAAGAAUUUGUUUUGAAGGUCUCCAACCAAUUAAAAAUAUUUUUUAAAGAUGUUAGAACAAUGGCUUUGAGUCAUGCAAACCUAUACAUUUGUCAGAAUUCAUAGAACAUAUACUUUAAAUUUGUGCAUUUCAUUGUAUAUAAAUUUCACCUCAAAAACACAAAGAGAACUGUAAACAAAUAUUGAACUCUAGUCAUUCAUAUGCAUGCAGGAGUACCUAAGGGGAAGUGUACUGCUGUCUGCAAUUUACUUUGAAAUGGAUAUAUUAAUACAAAGCAAAUCGAUGGAUGGAGAGAGGGACGAAUGGAUGGUCAGAUACAGAUUAAGUCAGGCAGAGUAAACAUUAAUGGGAGAAUAUAGGAGGUGUGUAUAGUAUAUUGGUUUCUACUGUACAAUCUUCCAACUUUUCUGAUGCUUGAAAUUUUUUUAAUAAAGUGUAGGGGGGAAAGCACCCUAAAACACUGACAAUUUUUGGAGCUGAUUGAUGAGUAUAUGGGAGUUCUUUAUACUACUCUCUUUACAUUUGUAUAUAUUUGAAUAUUUCC
rnacentral:lncRNA from 1 species